CCUACGGGAGGCAGCAGGGGGGAAUAUUGCACAAUGGGCGCAAGCCUGAUGCAGCGACGCCGCGUGAGGGAUGACGGCCUUCGGGUUGUAAACCUCUUUCAGCACAGACGAAGCGCAAGUGACGGUAUGUGCAGAAGAAGGACCGGCCAACUACGUGCCAGCAGCCGCGGUAAU
rnacentral:rRNA from 1 species